GGGAGAUCAAGACAUUAAAAGAGACUUAUUAUCACAUCAAAUGUGGAUAUAUAUAUAUAUAUAUGGGUGAUUCUUUAACUAUGGUACUUUUCUUGUCCCUGGAUGAAAUAAUAAAAACUAAAAAACAUUUCUUCUUUUUUGUUUUUGUCAUACUUACUCCACCCUAAGGGGAACUUAUAAAAAAUGUAUCAUGGCUCAAUCAUUAUUUUUAUUAUAUAAUAUGAGGCCUUUUAUGCAUGGUUUUUACUGUUUUCCCUCUGUCCCUAAGCCAGACUUUGUAUCUUCAACCUCGCUUAAUUCUAAAUUAAAUAUUUAAAUAAUGUAGAUUUCAAGUACAAAUGAUAAAAUACCAUUUAUUUCAAUUCUACAUAUUAUAUAUUGUGAUACAUAUUCACAUUUUUCUAUAUUUUUCAUAAAUAGAACCCUUGUCCCUUGGGGUCACUGUCAUUUCCACCACACUGUACAAAAUAGAAUCCUGGGAUCAGUGUUUUAGGUUUGUAUAUUUAGUAACCAUAGCAACAGAAACUCCACAGUGGAACACAUGGCUGGAUGAAAUGGUGUCCUCUACAGGGGGUAAUGAAAAGAAGAAAAAUCAAGAUGGCAAGCAAUACCACAGCACAGAGGUCAAGAUCAUACAGAGAAAGAAUAAAAUCAGAUCCACUUAAAUAUGCAGAGUCCCUCAAGAAGGACAGAGAAAGAUACCUGAAGAAAAAGCAACAAGGUGUUGUUAAAUCUGUGACAGAAAUGCCGAAAAGAGAACAACGAAAAAUGAGAAGACAGUGGCGAAUUUCUCAACGAAACAGACGUAGGAAAUGGAAAAUGGUCUCAGCAGUGAAUAGUUUCAUGGCACAUACAACACCACCACCAUCACCAGACAACAUGAGUGUUAAUGCAGAAGACAUCCCUGAAACACCUCAGCUGUGUGAGCCUACACCAGAGAGAACUCCACAGAGGAAAAGAGGGAGAAAAAAGGUUGCGAAGGCAAAAGCAAAGGUGUACAGUUCAAGCACACUUACCAGCACAUCUCAACCCAUCAUAGACCUGCAUGAGGGACUGAUUGGAAGUUGGUGUGUGGUACGGUAUGAUGGGGAUCCUUACCCUGGCAUUAUACAGGAUGUGGACCCUGAGGGUUGUGCUCUGGUGAGAACCAUGAGUCAUAUUGGCAAAAACAAGUUCUUCUGGCCUAUGAGAGACGAUGUUAUUUGGUACCGGCCAGAAGAUGUGAUCAGGCUGGUCCCAGAGCCUCAACCAGUAACAAAGAGGCAUGUGAUGGUGGAGCCAACAGUUUGGAAAGAAAUAUGCUCUGUUCUUGACCAUGAAACAUAACUGAACCUCUGGCCCAUAUGCAAGUUUGACAGAUACAGUAUUUAGCAAAUACAAUGUCUAUUUAGUCAGA